rnacentral:rRNA from 1 species
CACACCGCCCGUCCACACCAUGGAAGUUUGUUGCCACCAGAAGCAGGUAGCUUAACCGCAAGGGGGCGCUUGCCACGGUGUGGCCGAUGACUGGGGUG